GGCCGUGUGGCUCAAUGGCAGAGCGUCUGACUACGAUGCUCUCGCGGGUGAUCAGAAGGUCGCAGGUUCGACCCCUGUCUCGGUCA